UGCCGCCUACAAUACGUUUCUUUCUUUCAUGUGAGUCCAAUGGAAGGCUGUUCACUGAGAAAUAAGCAGAGGUGUUGCAGAGCAAAUAGACAGAGAUCAAAAAUGCGCUUAACAGCCGUAAGAGUUAUGGCUCUCGUGGGCUUUAUGUUGUAAGUAGGCUGUGUUGAAACUUAUCAAACGUAAGAACGUAUACAAUUGUAUAGUAGUAUAAACAAAAUAACGCAUUUGCAUUGUUUGAAUUCAAAAUAUUAUGAAUUAAAAAAAAUUCCUCUCAUA